GCUGGAUGCGGUCCCAUCAGACUCAUGUAAUGAUGUAAUCCACCAUAUGUGGUGACCCUUUUUAUUGUUCGCUUGAAAAGAGCUGCCGAGUUCAUCUAGAGGCUGGAACUAGUGCACCCGGUAGAUUGACAUCACUUGCUAGCAAUUUCACGUUGCCAUAUUGUUGGUGCCACUGAUUAGAACACAAGCUUGGAGGUCAUGCUGAUUAGAACAAAAGCAAGGAUAGCCACGUGGAAACAAAGCAUCUUAAAUAUGAAUGGAAUUAGGAUAGAAUAGGCAAACAGAAGCAGUCAAAAUGGAGUUGAAUAACAGAAAAGAAAUGAAGCUGGCCAAAGAAUUUCAGUAGAUAGAAUACACAAUGGUUAGAUGUCAGCCCACCUCUGUAGUGUAACGAGCAGAAAAGUGAAUGAGUAGAAUAGCUUUGUUUCCAAGCUUGUCAGACUGGCUUGCUAUCUGCAUUGCCAAAAAUAAACAUCACGGUAAAUACUAAUAUUUGAAAUGUUGGAAGUUGAAUAAACGAUUUUGGAAUAUCUCAAAUAACACACCUCAAAUAAGUGUGUGUGCCCAUAUUCUCUUGCAUGCUCAACCGAAAUGGAGUCGUCUAGAAAAGUACUCUGAAAUCCAUAGAGCACAUCUCACUACCAAAAAUAUCAUAGAGGGGAACGAUUUCAGAAAAUAAAACGUUCAGCAGUGGAAAUGGAACGCAUUGCUAAGUAAGGUUGCUACUUGCUGUUAGUGACAUAAAAAAUUUGUCACAUGUUGCAAACUGAGAGCAUAGCUGUAAAGCGACAAGUAAUAACAAAAUACCUCGACAACAAGAAUUUUUGCCCCCAACGCAUCUGCAUUGUCUGGAUCAAGAAUGAAAUCUGAUGUCGUAUCUCCCGUGAAAGCAAUCUCAGGGGUGGACACCGUAUUCGUGAUCUGCAAAUUAAAAAUAGGUGAAUGGUGAGGGGGGCAUAUAAGCCCAUACCACAUCAACAUGCUACUAGACGGUGCUUCAAUUUGAACUCCACAGCCACCAUGGCAGACAGACCUCCACACCUGAUAACUUCAACCGCUUAAUCUCGCUCCCUGGGAGACCAAUGAACUCCUGCUUGAGCUUCUGCUUCACCGAGUAUAUGACAUACCCCUGCACACACCCCCAUCCAAGCAUUGCAGGAUUAUAACGGAUCAAUUUGGAACAGGUGCAUCCAAGGACAAGGAGUGGAAUGAACCCAAGUAAUUCGCCACACCUGGCUGGGUAUGGCGUGGUAGGUCCUGAAAGCCCUGACCUUGAUGUCCCUCCUCAAUUCGUACUCCUCCCCGACCUCGAGGGGGACCAAGUUAUGCUUGAGCUCCGACUGGUCUAUGGCGCGGUGCACCUCGAACAGCCGCUCCACGAGGUCCCGGAGGCACGCCGGGACGAAGAUGGUGGCCGGGCGCAGCCUGAAGAGACCCCGCGUGGCCACGUACAUGGGGAGGCCCCCGAUGUGGUCGAGAUGCCCAUGGGAGAUGAAGAGGAACUCCUGCGAGAUGGCGCGCUGCGGGCACCGGCCGAUGUCGAAGGCGAGGCUCAGCGUCGGGAAGAUGACGCAGGUCUCUUGGCCGCCGAUGGAGAGGCCCUCCACGGGGUACCCCUCGAUCUCCAGCCGGUGCUUCGCCUUCGGCCUCGAUGGCGGCGCGGAAGCGGAAGUAAGAGGAGGGGCGGCGGCGGUGGACGCAGCCUCCGCCGCGGACUCGCUGACCUUCGCCAUCCCGCCGCCGACAAAGAGGGUUUGCGGCGCCGGCGGUCAAGGCGUGGGCGUGCGGUCGUGCGGACGAGAUGCUACUGCUGCUGGGUUGGGACUUGGGCCGUCGUUGUGGGGAGAGGUGGGCGAUUGGGCCUCUCUUGUGGGUUGCGGCCUUGGCUCAACAAGCAAAAACGAGGCCCUUUGGACAGCACGAUGGCCCGAUAUAAAUAAAAAAACUCAUACAAAAAUAAAACAUCAUAUUUUUCAAACAAAACAUCCAAAUAAAAAUCAAUUGCAUCAUUGUUUUUCUUAGAAUGAGAUUUUCAAAAUAAUACCACACUCGAAUAUAUUUGAAUGGUUUUCUAACUAGAAUUUGAUUGUUUGUACUAGAUGUUUUUGGCUCAACUUGUGUGGUUGGAUUAGGAAACUUAUUUAGAGGGUGCUCUAUGUGUAUCAAGAUCAAUGAGGAAAACAGCACAUAUUUUAAACCUAGGCUAUGUUCGGUUUCCGUGGUUCUAAUCCCCAAGAUGAUUUUUUUCCAUGCCGGGAAUAAACAGUGGAUCCUGAUCUGUUACUCUCUGAUGCUCGUGGGGACAAUUUCCAAUCUAGACUUAGAGUCUGAUUGGCUCACGGCCACAACGUGCCACCGCCUAAAGUGCACGCCUAAAGUGCGGCAAGUCACCAGUGUUUGGAUGCUGCUUGGUUCAGCUCGCAAAGCGUGGCAGCUAGCCAGCCACAGAGGCUUUUUCAGAAAAAAAAAAACCCGUCAUGGCCAUCAAAAGUUUGGACAUCAAUGAAUUGUUAGAGACUUCAGAUUGCUUACAAGUCAACUCAGAGGUAAAGCAGCGUUGUAAAGACAGAUCGUUGACUUGUUCUGUGAUCCAUGCCAUUCGUCGAUUUGCUGAUUCUGUUGCACCCAUCUUCAAUUCAUCAGUUGUUCAUUUCAUGAGGCAGCUCAUUUUCAAGCCGCUACUAUGAUGGUUAACCCAUUUCUAAUUCGGUGUGGCUGGAUGCGGUCCCAUCAGACUCAUGUAAUGAUGUAAUCCACCAUAUGUGGUGACCCUUUUUAUUGUUCGCUUGAAAAGAGCUGCCGAGUUCAUCUAGAGGCUGGAACUAGUGCACCCGGUAGAUUGACAUUACUUGCUAGCAAUUUCACGUUGCCAUAUUGUAUCUGUACAUUUUUCGUGAAACCAGUUAUUAAUGCCAUAACCCUGGUACAUUUUAUAGAUACAUCACAAAAAAAUGGUGGUCAAGG
rnacentral:lncRNA from 1 species